rnacentral:rRNA from 1 species
GACAGAGGGUGCGAACGUUGUUCGGAAUUACUGGGCGUAAAGCGCGUGUAGGCGGCAGCGCAAGUCGGGCGUGAAAUCCCACGGCUCAACCGUGGAAGUGCACUCGAAACUGCGCAGCUAGAGUCCUGGAGAGGAAGGUGGAAUGCUUGGUGUAGAGGUGAAAUUCGUAGAUAUCAAGCGGAACACCGGUGGCGAAGGCGGGUCUCUGGGCCGUAACUGACGCUGAGGAGCGAAAGCAUGGGGAGCGAACAGG